AGAUAUUAAGGACUUAGAAGCAGAAACGUCUUACCACUAAGCAAUAGAUUACUUAUGGUUUUAAAUAACAACCUGAGGUCACGUCUGACAAUGGCAUAUCCAACAAUGAUAUGCAACUUUUCAAGAGAUGUCAUUGGCCGGUCUAGGGUGAGUCCAUCUGUGUUCAUUUCAUCUUCUUCACUAAUGGUUUGCACAGUGGGUUGUUUGGAAACUUCAGACCCAUCCUCUGCCUUUACAUGAUAUAACAGAUGGUUUCCUACUGGUUCUUCUGUUUGAUGGAAGCCCCUCAGGAGCAGUGGAGGUCCUUCUGUUUCGGGACAUUAUAUCAGUGAAAGUUGAAGUCUUUCUGUUUCUGGGACCCUGCUCUGGUAUGGCAGAUAGUUUGCGGCUUGAAAGACCAUCAUCUUGAACCGAUCUUCUGUUCCGGGCCAGGAUGUCUGUAAAAGUUGAAGAUUUUCUGUUGCGGGAAGCCUCUUCUGGAACUGAACUGAGUUUCCUGUUUGGAGUGUUUCUAACAUUUCUCAUCCUCUGAAAAUAAUGAGACAUCAAAACAUUCAGAAGUGUAUUCCAAGAAGAGAUUUUUUUUUUCUCAAGUUAUAACCUUACUAAAUGACCUGUAUUACUGGUCUUAGCUUACAGUGUGUCCAAGCUGGUUUUUAGUUGGCCUGCCAGCUAGUCUGACCCGCAGUUUUUUUUCAGUGGCAAACAUGUAAUGAAAAUGAGUUUCCUCACCUGGUCCAGGCCCACCAUAUGGCUGAGGCGUCUAUCCUGUCUGGAGGCCACAUCCUUCUGAAGAGAGCGUUCAGCAAAGGCUGGUCCACUUCUCAAGACCCCCUGAGCCUUUGGUUCAGGAAGAUCCCCCAUAAAUCUUAAGAUCAUCCACCAAACUGUUAGUGAAGCCUACGGAGAAGAAGAAAAGAGCAGUAGUAAGCUCUUAUACUCAAUGUGACACAGCAGCUUAACAGAAAUUGUGCUGUGGAGAAAAGAACAUCAUAAAUACAAACCAAAAACAGGUCAAAGUCAACGGUGGCUUUACCUGGACGUCAUUCUCGUCCUCAUGGUAGAGCAGAGGCUGAUGUAGUCUCUGGCGAAUGUGUGUGGGUGUGGCAGCACCUGGAAGUACAUGGAAGCAAACGUUGGUUCGUAACCCUUUUAAUUAAUUUUAAAUCAAACGUACCUAAACACAACUAAAAUUUGUUGUUUUUAUUGUUAUUGUUAUCCAAACAUUAACAUUAUGCUUUUUUGAGAAGUUUGAUGUCUCACCUCAAAGCCCACAGGUGCCUGGCCCUCCUGUCCGCCAACCAUGCUAGGCAAAAAGCCAAAGAUAUCAUCCACCAUUUCCUGGUCUGUGAUGGAUUCCAACUGUUCAGCCGCCUCUCUUUGUUUUUUCUGCCGCAGAAUUUCGUCAAGCCUCCUUUGUCUCUCUAGAGCAGCAAGUUCUUCUGCUCUACGGUCCUGAAGUGAGAGGAAAGCCUGCAAACCAUGGAGACAGCAACAGAUGAAGAAGACAUCUAGCUUGGGAUAUUUAGCAAACUGUCAUCUAAACAUGGUGAUUCUAUCCAUCAGAAAAUGUCCUACAUCUCUCUUCAUCUUUUUGACAGCUUUUCUGGCUAGAGUUCCUCUGGUGUAAGCCUGCAGGAGGAUCACUGCCGCUCUCUUUCGUUUCCACUCCUUCCUUGCCAGGCAGCCACGAGUCUGAGCCUGAAGCAGAACGGUUGCUUGUCGCUUCUGUUUAAACUGCCAGGCCAACUGACGAGAGCGUACUUGAGCUCGCAGACGGGCAAAACCCAACUGGACCUGCAGAAAGACACAAAGUGACACAUGUACAAGCAAAGACUUGCAUCUUUUAGACCAGUCUGGAGUAAGAGGACAACUUACCACUCUGUAAAGUUUUCUGACUUUGUGUCCACGCCAGGUUUUCUGUAUGGUCACAGCUGCUCUUCUCUUUCUCAGGAACGCUUUCCUGCAAGUAAGCAAAAUGGCUUCUGGUAAACCAGUGUUUGAACAUUUUCUCUACACACUUAGGAGAUUAUCCUCAGUCUUUUACCUGUGUUUAUAACCUCUCAGGACUUUCUGAAUAAGAAGUGCCUUCUUGUUGAGAGCCUUGUCUCGUGCCAGUUCCAAAACAGUAUCAUGGAAAUCCUGAUGCAGAUAAGUAUCACAUUUGAACCGAUCUAUUUGAAAAAUGCUGUAAAGGUACCUGAAAAAUUCACUCCAGUACCUUCAAGAACACUUUAGUCUUGCCGAUCUUCCAGUCCUCUU
rnacentral:lncRNA from 1 species